GGGAGCGUUCUGUAAGCCUGCGAAGGUGACUCGUAAGGGUUGCUGGAGGUAUCAGAAGUGCGAAUGCUGACAUGAGUAACGUUAAAGCGGGUGAAAAGCCCGCUCGCCGUAAGCCCAAGGUUUCCUGCUCUACGUUCAUCGGAGCAGGGUGAGUCGGCCCCUAAGGUGAGGCUGAGAAGCGUAACUGAUGGGAACAAGGUUAAUAUUCCUUGACCACCGCUGAAUGCGAAGGGGGGACGGAGUAUUGAAGAUCAUCCGGGUGUUGGAUAUCCCGGUUUGCGAGCGUAGGAGGCUGACAGGCAAAUCCGUCAGCGAAUCUCCGAGGCGAAGCAUCGAGCUCUCUUUUGAGCGAAGUGAUUGGAUGUGCUUCCAGGAAAAGCCUCUAAGCUCCAGUUCAGCGGGACCGUACCGCAAACCGACACUGGUGGGCGAGCUGAAUAUGCUCAGGCGCUUGAGAGAACUCAGGAGAAGGAACUCGGCAAAUUGACACCGUAACUUCGGGAUAAGGUGUGCCUUUGUAGCGUGGAGGGAGAAACACCCCGAGCGCGAAGAGGUCUCAGAUAAUCGGUGGCUGCGACUGUUUAUUAAAAACACAGCACUCUGCAAAGACGAAAGUCGACGUAUAGGGUGUGAUGCCUGCCCGGUGCUGGAAGAUUAAUUGAUGGGGUGCAAGCUCCUGAUCGAAGUCCCAGUAAACGGCGGCCGUAACUAUAACGGUCCUAAGGUAGCGAAAUUCCUUGUCGGGCAAGUUCCGACCUGCACGAAUGGCAUAACGAUGGCCACACUGUCUCCUCCUGAGACUCAGUGAAGUUGAAGUGUUUGUGAUGAUGCAAUCUCCCCGCGGCUAGACGGAAAGACCCCAUGAACCUUUACUGUAGCUUUGCAUUGGACUUUGAACCGAUCUGUGUAGGAUAGGCGGGAGCCUGUGAAACCACAACGCCAGUUGUGGCGGAGGCGUCCUUGAAAUACCGCCCUGAUUUGUUUGAGGUUCUAACCUGGGACAGUCAUCCUGUCCGGGGACCGUGCAUGGUAGGCAGUUUGACUGGGGCGGUCUCCUCCUAAAGGGUAACGGAGGAGUGCGAAGGUACGCUAGGUACGGUCGGAAAUCGUGCUGAUAGUGCAAUGGCAAAAGCGUGCUUGACUGCGAGACCCACAAGUCGAGCAGAUACGAAAGUAGGUCAUAGUGAUCCGGUGGCUCUGUAUGGAAGGGCCAUCGCUCAACGGAUAAAAGGUACUCUGGGGAUAACAGGCUGAUACCGCCCAAGAGUUCAUAUCGACGGCGGUGUUUGGCAC
rnacentral:rRNA from 1 species